GGGCAGAUGGUCGAGUGGUCUAAGACGUGUGACUCAAGUUCACAUCUCGCAAGAGGCAAGGGUUCGAAUCCCUUUCUGCUCA